rnacentral:piRNA from 1 species
CCCGUUCUGGGGAUGCAGGAAGU